rnacentral:rRNA from 1 species
AGAGUUUGAUCCUGGCUCAGGACGAACGCUGGCGGCGUGCUUAACACAUGCAAGUCGAGCGGAAAGGCCCUUCGGGGUACUCGAGCGGCGAACGGGUGAGUAACACGUGAGUAACCUGCCCCGGACUUUGGGAUAACCUUCGGAAACGGAGGCUAAUACCGAAUAUCCACGCGCUAUCGCAUGGUGGUGUGUGGAAAGUUUUUCGGUCUGGGAUGGGCUCGCGGCCUAUCAGCUUGUUGGUGGGGUGAUGGCCUACCAAGGCGACGACGGGUAGCCGGCCUGAGAGGGCGACCGGCCACACUGGGACUGAGACACGGCCCAGACUCCUACGGGAGGCAGCAGUGGGGAAUAUUGCACAAUGGGCGGAAGCCUGAUGCAGCGACGCCGCGUGAGGGAUGACGGCCUUCGGGUUGUAAACCUCUUUCAGCAGGGACGACCGCAAGUGACGGUACCUGCAGAAGAAGCGCCGGCCAACUACGUGCCAGCAGCCGCGGUAAGACGUAGGGCGCGAGCGUUGUCCGGAUUUAUUGGGCGUAAAGAGCUCGUAGGCGGCUUGUCGCGUCGGCUGUGAAAACCCGUGGCUCAACUGCGGGCUUGCAGCCGAUACGGGCAGGCUAGAGUUCGGUAGGGGAGACUGGAAUUCCUGGUGUAGCGGUGAAAUGCGCAGAUAUCAGGAGGAACACCGGUGGCGAAGGCGGGUCUCUGGGCCGAUACUGACGCUGAGGAGCGAAAGCGUGGGGAGCGAACAGGAUUAGAUACCCUGGUAGUCCACGCUGUAAACGUUGGGCGCUAGGUGUGGGGGACCUCUCCGGUUCUCUGUGCCGCAGCUAACGCAUUAAGCGCCCCGCCUGGGGAGUACGGCCGCAAGGCUAAAACUCAAAGGAGUUGACGGGGGCCCGCACAAGCGGCGGAGCAUGCGGAUUAAUUCGAUGCAACGCGAAGAACCUUACCUGGGUUUGACAUCACCGCAAAACUUCCAGAGAUGGGAGGUCCUUCGGGGGCGGUGACAGGUGGUGCAUGGCUGUCGUCAGCUCGUGUCGUGAGAUGUUGGGUUAAGUCCCGCAACGAGCGCAACCCUCGUUCGAUGUUGCCAGCGGGUUAUGCCGGGGACUCAUCGAAGACUGCCGGGGUCAACUCGGAGGAAGGUGGGGAUGACGUCAAGUCAUCAUGCCCCUUAUGUCCAGGGCUUCACGCAUGCUACAAUGGCCGGUACAAUGGGCUGCGAUACCGCAAGGUAGAGCGAAUCCCAAAAAGCCGGUCUCAGUUCGGAUCGGGGUCUGCAACUCGACCCCGUGAAGUCGGAGUCGCUAGUAAUCGCAGAUCAGCAACGCUGCGGUGAAUACGUUCCCGGGCCUUGUACACACU